rnacentral:rRNA from 1 species
AUGGCUGUUGGGCCGACGGCACCGGCAAGAGCCGACUCGUCGUGCGCGGUUACGGUGGGAGAACUCGGCGGCACUGCUGGGCAGAGCAAUUCCGCCCAGAAAAGGAAGCAGUCUCCAACUCAGUCCGUCGAGUCCACCGGGAUGGUCAACCUAGAUGCACCAGACUGGACCAGAAGAUUCCAGUACAGAGAGUUCAGUGCAGAUGUUGAGCAGCCAGAUCCAUUGGUUUCGAUGGUUGUUGGGCCAUCGGCAUUGACAUGCGCCGAGUCAUCGUGCACGAUUGUGCUUGGACAACUCGGCGGCACUGCUGAACAGAGCAAUUCUGCCGGCAAGAGGAAGGAGUCUUUCAUUUCAUAUACAUGA